rnacentral:sRNA from 1 species
UUCAUCUUCCCCACGGGAAGGAUGAGAAGCCUCGCCCGAAGGUUCGAGUCGAACGCCGUGAGACAACGCCAUGCAAUGGCGGCCCGUAGGGCAAGGAACGCCGUGACGUGUCAUCCUUCCCCCACCACCC